UAUGGCCAUACCAUGUUGAAACACCGAUUCUCAUAUGAUCACCAAAGUUAAGCAAAAUUGAGCCUGGUCAGUACCUAGAUGAUUGACUACUUGAGAAUACCAGGUGAUGUAAG